rnacentral:rRNA from 1 species
UGAGGAAUAUUGGUCAAUGGACGAGAGUCUGAACCAGCCAAGUAGCGUGCAGGAUGACGGCCCUAUGGGUUAUAAACUGCUUUUGUUUGGGAAUAAUCGACAUUACGUGUAAUGUUUUGCAUGUACCAUUCGAAUAAGGACCGGCUAAUUCCGUGCCAGCAGCCGCGGUAAUACGGAAGGUCCAGGCGUUAUCCGGAUUUAUUGGGUUUAAAGGGAGUGUAGGCGGUUGGUUAAGCGUGUUGUGAAAUGUAGAUGAUCAACAUCUGACUUGCAGCGCGAACUGGCUGACUUGAGUACACAAAACGUAGGCGGAAUUCAUGGUGUAGCGGUGAAAUGCUUAGAUAUCAUGAAGAACUCCGAUUGCGAAGGCAGCUUACGGGAGUGUUACUGACGCUUAAGCUCGAAGGUGCGGGUAUCAAACAGG